CAGCUCCGAACGCGCUCCCUGCCCGCUGCUUGGUGCCAUCCUGGAAGGCCCGCCCAGCGCCGCCCCCGGGGGCCUGAACGGCUCUGUCAACUUUUAGCAGGGGUUGCUCUGCUGAAAAUCUGCAGCCGUGAAAGAGCACCAAGAGAGAAAGGGAAGCACCGAAGUAUUUGGCAACCUUUAUGGCCAAUGGACUUAUUUCUGCAACCUGCUUCUGAAAUACAGCGCAGUUUUAGAAGAAGUCGUCUGGGCAAGCCCGUCAGUACGAAACAAGUUUCCCCAGGACGCCUGGUGCCUGGAGGUUUACAGCGCCCCCCCC